AGAAACAGACCCAUCUCCCAUCUUCAUCCAAAGCUGUCCAUGCAAUUUCAGGGAGUCCAGACACAUCCUCUGUCCCUGGUUAUGAGCUCUAGAGCUCAAGAAUACCCCAAGAGCCAAUGUUUCUUGACUGGAACCCACCUCCA